GAUGAACGCUGGCGGCGUGCCUAAUACAUGCAAGUCGAGCGAACGGACGAGAAGCUUGCUUCUCUGAUGUUAGCGGCGGACGGGUGAGUAACACGUGGAUAACCUACCUAUAAGACUGGGAUAACUUCGGGAAACCGUGGCUAAUACCGGAUAAUAUUUUGAACCGCAUGGUUCAAAAGUGAAAGACGGUCUUGCUGUCACUUAUAGAUGGAUCCGCGCUGCAUUAGCUAGUUGGUAAGGUAACGGCUUACCAAGGCAACGAUGCAUAGCCGACCUGAGAGGGUGAUCGGCCACACUGGAACUGAGACACGGUCCAGACUCCUACGGGAGGCAGCAGUAGGGAAUCUUCCGCAAUGGGCGAAAGCCUGACGGAGCAACGCCGCGUGAGUGAUGAAGGUCUUCGGAUCGUAAAACUCUGUUAUUAGGGAAGAACAUAUGUGUAAGUAACUGUGCACAUCUUGACAGUACCUAAUCAGAAAGCCACGGCUAACUACGUG
rnacentral:rRNA from 1 species